AGGAGCCUGGCGUGCUGUACAGUCCAUGGGGUUGCAAAGAGUUGGACACGACCGAGCUGCUUAUUGACUGCUGACCUCAGAAGCCACAUGUGGAAUGGUGGAACCACCUUAGGCCUGGGCAUCUAUACAGCUGUGUGAAGCAGAGUGCCCCCCCACACACACACAUACCCAUACCCCUCAGUAACAGCCAUUUGGGGCUUUAUAUGUGCAAUAAAUAAAUCUAUGCUAUGUAA